rnacentral:ribozyme from 1 species
UGCCCAACAACUCCUAUCACUACCUCCUCGUGGUACCAGCCGGAAACUAUGAGCAACCUUAGGGAAGAUCGGGUAACCAACCGCGGUGGG